GAACUACAACCUCCGUUGUAAAUUUCUUAACUUAGAUUUGUCUAGAUACGGAUGUAUCUAGACACAUUUUAGAUACAUCCGUAUCUAGACAAAUCUGAGACAACUAAUUCAGGAUGGAGGGAGUAUAUA
rfam:Triticum urartu cultivar G1812 contig586156, whole genome shotgun sequence.